AUACGGAGGGUGCAAGCGUUAUUCGGAAUCACUGGGCGUAAAGGACGCGUAGGCGGGUUGGCAAGUCAGAUGUGAAAUCCUACAGCUUAACUGUAGAACUGCAUUUGAAACUGCUAACCUAGAGUAUGGGAGGGGGAGAUGGAAUUAGUGGUGUAGGGGUAAAAUCCGUAGAUAUCACUAGGAAUACCGAAAGCGAAGGCGAUCUCCUGGAACGUAACUGACGCUAAGGCGUGAAAGCGUGGGGAGCAAACAGGAUUAGAAACCCUAGUAGUCC
rnacentral:rRNA from 1 species